rnacentral:rRNA from 1 species
GACAGAGGCCCCGAGCGUUAGGCGGAAUCACUGGGCUUAAAGCGUGUGUAGGCGGGUCGUUAAGUGUCUUGUGAAAUCCCACGGCUCACCCGUGGAACUGCUGGGCAUACUGGCGAUCUUGGGCCAUUCAGGGGCGACUGGAACAAGCGGUGGAGCGGUGAAAUGCGUAGAUAUCGAGAGGAACACCUGCGGCGAAGGCGGGUUGCUGGGCUGACACUGACGCUGAAGCGCGAAAGCUAGGGGAGCGAACGGG